GGACGGGUGAGUAAUGUCUGGGAAACUGCCUGAUGGAGGGGGAUAACUACUGGAAACGGUAGCUAAUACCGCAUAAUGUCGCAAGACCAAAGAGGGGGACCUUCGGGCCUCUUGCCAUCGGAUGUGCCCAGAUGGGAUUGGCUUGUUGGUGGGGUAACGGCUCACCAAGGCGACGAUCCCUAGCUGGUCUGAGAGGAUGACCAGCCACACUGGAACUGAGACACGGUCCAGACUCCUACGGGAGGCAGCAUG
rnacentral:rRNA from 1 species